rnacentral:rRNA from 1 species
AACGAACGCUGGCGGCAGGCCUAACACAUGCAAGUCGAGCGGACCCUUCGGGGUUAGCGGCGGACGGGUGAGUAACGCGUGGGAAUAUGCCCUUCUCUACGGAAUAGUCCUGGGAAACUGGGGGUAAUACCGUAUACGCCCUUUGGGGGAAAGAUUUAUCGGGGAAGGAUGAGCCCGCGUUGGAUUAGGUAGUUGGUGGGGUAAUGGCCUACCAAGCCGACGAUCCAUAGCUGGUUUGAGAGGAUGAUCAGCCACACUGGGACUGAGACACGGCCCAGACUCCUACGGGAGGCAGCAGUGGGGAAUCUUAGACAAUGGGGGCAACCCUGAUCGAGCCAUGCCGCGUGAGUGAUGAAGGCCUUAGGGUUGUAAAGCUCUUUCAGCUGGGAAGAUAAUGACGGUACCAGCAGAAGAAGCCCCGGCUAACUCCGUG